rnacentral:rRNA from 1 species
AUUGAACGCUGGCGGCAGGCCUAACACAUGCAAGUCGAACGAGCGGCGGACGGGUGAGUAAUGUCUGGGAAACUGCCUGAUGGAGGGGGAUAACUACUGGAAACGGUAGCUAAUACCGCAUACUAUCAGAUGAGCCCAGAGGGGAUUAGCUAGUAGGUGGGGUAACGGCUCACCAAGGCGACGAUCCCUAGCUGGUCUGAGAGGAUGACCAGCCACACUGGGACUGAGACACGGUCCAGACUCCUACGGGAGGCAGCAGUGGGGAAGAUUGCACAAUGGGCGCAAGCCUGAUGCAGCCAUGCCGCGUGUAUGAAGAAGGCCUUCGGGUUGUAAAGUACUUUCAGCGGGGAGGCGUUACCCGCAGAAGAAGCACCGGCUAACUCCGUGCCAGCAGCCGCGGUAAUUC